UACGAAGGGGGCUAGCGUUGCUCGGAAUCACUGGGCGUAAAGCGCACGUGGGCGGACUCUUAAGUCAGGGGUGAAAUCCUGGAGCUCAACUCCAGAACUGCCUUUGAUACUGAGAGCCUUGAGUCCGGAAGAGGUAAGUGGAACUGCGAAUGUAGAGGUGAAAUUCGUAGAUAUUCGCAAGAACACCAGUGGCGAAGGCGGCUUACUGGUCCGGUACUGACGCUGAGGUGCGAAAGCGUGGGGAGCAAACAGG
rnacentral:rRNA from 1 species